AGAGUUUGAUCAUGGCUCAGAUUGAACGCUGGCGGCAGGCCUAACACAUGCAAGUCGAGCGGUAGCACAGAGAGCUUGCUCUCGGGUGACGAGCGGCGGACGGGUGAGUAAUGUCUGGGAAACUGCCUGAUGGAGGGGGAUAACUACUGGAAACGGUAGCUAAUACCGCAUAAUGUCGCAAGACCAAAGUGGGGGACCUUCGGGCCUCAUGCCAUCAGAUGUGCCCAGAUGGGAUUAGCUAGUAGGUGGGGUAACGGCUCACCUAGGCGACGAUCCCUAGCUGGUCUGAGAGGAUGACCAGCCACACUGGAACUGAGACACGGUCCAGACUCCUACGGGAGGCAGCAGUGGGGAAUAUUGCACAAUGGGCGCAAGCCUGAUGCAGCCAUGCCGCGUGUGUGAAGAAGGCCUUCGGGUUGUAAAGCACUUUCAGCGGGGAGGAAGGCGGUGAGGUUAAUAACCUCAUCGAUUGACGUUACCCGCAGAAGAAGCACCGGCUAACUCCGUGCCAGCAGCCGCGGUAAUACGGAGGGUGCAAGCGUUAAUCGGAAUUACUGGGCGUAAAGCGCACGCAGGCGGUCUGUCAAGUCGGAUGUGAAAUCCCCGGGCUCAACCUGGGAACUGCAUUCGAAACUGGCAGGCUAGAGUCUUGUAGAGGGGGGUAGAAUUCCAGGUGUAGCGGUGAAAUGCGUAGAGAUCUGGAGGAAUACCGGUGGCGAAGGCGGCCCCCUGGACAAAGACUGACGCUCAGGUGCGAAAGCGUGGGGAGCAAACAGGAUUAGAUACCCUGGUAGUCCACGCCGUAAACGAUGAGUGCUAAGUGUUAGGGGGUUUCCGCCCCUUAGUGCUGCAGCUAACGCAUUAAGCACUCCGCCUGGGGAGUACGACCGCAAGGUUGAAACUCAAAGGAAUUGACGGGGGCCCGCACAAGCGGUGGAGCAUGUGGUUUAAUUCGAU
rnacentral:rRNA from 1 species